rnacentral:tRNA from 2 species
GGAGAGGUGUCCGAGUUGGUUUAAGGGGCUCGCCUGGAAAGCGAGUAUGUGGGAAACUGCAUCGAGGGUUCGAAUCCCUUCUUCUCCG